CUAUCCUAAAUGUUGAAAUUUUUGAUGUUUGGGGUAUUGAUUUUAUGGGUCCUUUUCCUUCUUCGUAUGGUUUUACAUAUAUUUUGCUUGCAGUUGAUUAUGUGUCGAAGUGGGUGGAAGCAAAGGCCACCCGAACUAAUGAUUCUAAAGUGGUUGCAGAUUUUAUUAGAACUAACAUUUUUGCAAGGUUCGGAAUGCCACGAGUGAUCAUUAGUGACGGAGGGUCACACUUUUGCAAUCGGACUAUUGAAGCGUUAUUGAGGAAAUACAGUGUCACCCAUAAGGUUUCUACACCUUACCAUCCUCAAACUAAUGGGCAAGCCGAGGUUUCUAACCGUGAGAUCAAGCAAAUCCUAGAGAAGACCGUUGGGCCAACAAGGAAGGAUUGGAGCUUACGGUUAGAUGAUGCACUUUGGGCGUAUCGUACGGCGUACAAAACCCCCAUUGGGAUGUCCCCCUUCCGACUUGUCUAUGGCAAGGCGUGCCAUCUUCCUGUUGAAUUGGAGCACAAAGCACUUUGGGCCAUUAAGAAGUUUAACAUGAACCUCGAGGAAGCAGGAAGUCAAAGGAGAUUGCAAUUGAAUGAGCUUGAUGAGAUACGGCUUGAGGCGUACGAUAAUGCAAGCAUUUACAAGCAAAAGACCAAAGCUUUCCAUGACAACAUGAUCCGUGGGAAAUCAUUCUCAAUUGGGCAGAAAGUGCUAUUGUUCAAUUCCCGUUUACGGUUGUUUCCCGGUAAGUUACGUUCUAAGUGGAUUGGACCGUUUGUUAUUACUAACAUAUCUUCUUAUGGUGCCAUCCAGAUUCAAAGUCUCAAAACAGGUCAUGAAUUCCAAGUGAACGGACACCGUUUGAAGCCAUAUUAUGAGAACUUUGUUGAACAAACUGUGGAGGAUAUUUCUUUGGGUGCCGUGGGCACAAAUGGAGAAUAAAAGGGCUUUUCGUCCGGCUGUACGACGUAAAAGAAAGCGCUACUUGGGAGGCAACCCAUGCAAUUCAACAAAGGAAGACCAAGGAAUUACUUCAAUUCCAGAUUUGCGUUCCUAAACCCUUCUCUUUGUUGUUUAUUUUGAAUCUGCCUAUUUAGUUGUUUUACUUGCUGUUUUAUGUUUCUUUUUGUUUAGUGUGGUUUUAUGCUUGAAACAUUGAGGACAAUGUUUGAUUUAAGUGUGGGGGGGUAACUAAGUGUUUUAGAUACAAAUUCGUGGGAUUUUAUCACCCUAAACUUGAAGACUUGUUCCUUGCUGUUUUUAAGUGUUUUUGAGCAGUUUUGAUGUGUUUUAGUGUGUUUUGAAGUAAAAAUCCGAAAAUUACAUAAAAAUUUGAAAAAUUUGUUUUAAAAACCCAAAAAGAGUUGUUUUUGUGUUUGUUUGUGUCUUAGGGUACCUUCCAACACAAUGAUGAGGAUUUGGUUUUUAAGUGCAUGACUGUUAAAGAAAGUGACUAACAUGGAUGAAAGUUUGAUUUACUCUUUGUUAUGUUUAGUUGUGGUUAUAACUUAUGAAUUCACAUGCAAUCAUAAAAGAAAAAAUCAGUUUUUGUAACAUGCUUGAAGGAAGGAACUCAAACUAACGCUACAACCUUGUGAGACUUGAGCCUAAACGCUUAUUUGGAGAGUUAAAAUCUGUGCAUUCUUUGUUUUCUAAGUCGUUGCAUGAUCUCAUUAUUCCUUGCUUGGUUGCUACUUAGAAGGCGUUUCAUCAUUUAGUUCCAAAUGCUAGAACUCAUGCCCAUUUCAUUCAAAGCAUGUUAUUGAUUUGCAUAACACAUAUUCAAGAUGAAGUUGUGUAGUGACCACCACCUUAGCCAAAAAGCCGUGUGCCCUAUGUCAUUGUGAUUUGUAGGUUUUAACCCCAUUGAGCCUUGUUAGCCUUCGUUAUUUGUUAACCCAUGUUUUCCUCACCUAGCCUAGUUUAGGACCAUCCAAACCCUUGUUCUUAAAGCAUAGUAAAGCAUGAUUCAAAUUGAAUUCCUUUUGAUUUAUGUUGGCAGAAAACUAGUGUGGGGGAAGUAUUUCUUUGUGAUUUUGUGUGCCAUAGGCACGUGUGGAAAGAGAAAAGAAAAUAAAAAAUUCGUGGAAAAAGAAAAAAUGAAGAAAAAAAAAAAAUAUGAAAAGUGUGAAAAAGAGUUGAAAAGUUGAGAAAAAGAGUUCCAAAGUAUUGUUUGUUGAAGUAAGGGUCCAAAACAAUGAAUUCGGCCCUAAGGAGUUGUUUAAAUCUUUCCCUUGUGUUUUAAAGUUAAUUUCUGCACUCUAAGUGAAUUCUAAGUCUCAAUUUCAUUGCUUUGCUUACUAUUGCUUGAAGAACGUUUGUUUUCCUUAUCCUUUCCUUGUUAACCAACACCCCAAGCCCCAUUACAACCCUUAACUUCUAUCUUGAGUGUUAUGUGUUUCAAUUUGUGGAGUUUGAAUUUGGUAUGAGCAUAUGGUGUCACUGGUUCUCGCAUCUAAGUAGUAGCAUUCCAUUCAUGAGAUCAUAUCUAAACAUGCUUCAUAACUCUAGAAAUUGCGUUCUUUGUGAUACAUUUAUGUGAGCAUUCGUUUUCAUUUCUACAUCAAUCUUCUCACAUAUGACUAGUGUAGGGUGUGGAGUUAGAAAAUCUGAGUAAAAAUAGAGUGUAUAUCUUGUAAGGAAUUGAGGGAAUUCUCUAAGGCAUGUUACUACAUUCAAAGCAUUGUUUUGAUUGAUUACUUGUGAAUUAGUAAGUGGUGGCUUUAAUUAAGUAUGUGCUUGUGUAAAGAUGACUCAAAUUUGUGGGGAUAACAAUCUUUAACAUGUCAUGUGCAUUGGAAAUCCCUGAGGCAAUUGUUGGAAGGUUUAGGUUUUGUUUUGGUUAGUUUGUUUCAUUUUGUUUUCUUUCUUUUGUUUGUUUUGCUCGAGGACUAGCAAAAGCUAAGUGUGGGGGAAUUUGAUAGGAGCAUAUUUAUGCGCCUUAGUUAGCUAGUUCUUAUGCAUCUUUGUUAUGUUUUCUUCGUUAAAGUAGUCUUUUAAGCUACUUUCUUGUGUUUUCAGGUUUUAGCGGACGUAUUACAUGAAAUGAUGCAGUUUGGAGCUUUUGGAGCAGAAAGUGAGCUUGAAGUAAAAAGGACAUGCUUGGAACGCAAGGUUGGGAUGAAAUUGAAGAGUUGAAGAUUUGAGGUUUCCUACUUGAAGUAGGAAAGCUAAGCCUAAAAGUUUCCAUUUUUGGGUUGAUCUUUCCUAAAUCGGAAUUGGCAACCAAAGUUUCUAAAGUUGGAAGUUUCUAUUCUUGGAGGUUUCCAUUUUCGUGAGUUUCUAUUCUCGGUUUUGGGCUUUUGGAUGACCCAUCCUUAACUCUUGGACCUAUGCCGUACCUAAACCCUAACCCUAGCCCAUUGUUUCAGCCGCACCUAGGCCUUGUUCACAUGCAAAAAUCUGAUUGGAAAUCCCUAAGCCUAUGCCGCACCUUUCCAUCCAAAAAGCCCUAUUUUACAAACCUUAACCCUAGCCCAUUGUUCUAAUCUGAAUUGCUAGGGUUUUUAAGUGCCUAUAUAUAUAUUUCUACACCCUAGCCGCACAUCUUCUUCCCUCUCCAUAAAAAUCAGAAAACUACAUCCCUUUCCCCACCUUGCCGCAGCCACCAUCAACCCAAAUCCCUUCCUUGCCGCAGCCAUUCAUCCAUUCCAGCCACCAUCCUCCACCUUUAGACACCAUUCCACACCUCCAUAACUCUUUCCCACACCUUGCCGCACCACCCUACCAUCCUAACUCCCUUCUAAAAAACCAAAAACACAUCCAGAAACUCCAUUCACGCCAGAACCUGUCCCUCACCUUUGCCGAGCCCAACCUACACCCAAAUCCAUAUUCUCUGACCCCAAACCUUCCUAGCCGUGCCCUACACCUAUCCUAGAUAGUUUUCCACCAUUCUCCCUCAUCCAAACCCAUCCAAAAACCCCCUAACCCUCACUGCCGCAGCAAGGAGAAGAAGAAAGAGGAGCUUUCUGUGCAGAUUUCAAAGUGGACUUCCUUGGCAUUUUAGGUGUAAUCUUUCUUAUGUCUUCGAUGUUUCAAUUCAAUAAACUUUGUGUUGUGAGUAUGAGGAACUAAACCCCCUUAGUUGGGGGGUGAUUCGAAACCAUGUACAUGCUUGCAAUUUGAUUCGAUUACAUUCAGUUGUUAUUUCAUAAGUUGUGGAUUCAAUUCGUUCAUCUAUUUGAUUGAUAACUUAUUUGUGUAUGUUGAUUGAGAGUGCACGCUUAGUUUUCAUGCAUGAAUAUGAUGCUAGAUUAUGAGGGAGUUUCACCUAAUAGUUACAAUCUUAUAAUCACAAGUAGUGAAGAUCGCUUGAAACGAUCGCGUUGAAUGAAUUCUUAGCAUAAGUUUCAUGCAAUUCAUAGUAACAAAUGCUUCGUCAAUGCUUAUGUUUUUCAUAGAACGUAAUGAUUCUUGCUUGUAUCUCUAUUAUGCAAUUCAUGUAGGGAACUUGUAGGGAAUGUUUUGAGUUGUCGUAUGCAAUCAUCCAACUUGAUAAAUUCUGGAAAAACUGAGGGUUAAUUAGUGCAAUUCACGGUUAACUUGGGGCGUUGAGUAUUCAUAGGUUAUCGGAAGAACAACUGAAAAUCGUUUUGUUUGCAAGUGUGACAUGUGUGGAGAAGAACCUCCUAACUAGCCUUUUAUCCAUCUAUUUCACCAAAAUCGUUUUUACAAUCUGUUUAGUUUCAAGUUUCUGUUUUAUGUUAAAUUUUCGUCCAAAACAAAUCCCCUUUUAAUUUGAAGUCUUAGAUUAGUUAGAAAGUGUUUUGAUUUGUGUUUCUAAGUAUUUCGAUUCAAGCUUUCAUCAAAUUUCGUCCAAAUUAGUGUAGGUCCCCAAAACUGCCCAGAAAGUGGUUUUUAGGCAGUUUUGAGCCUUCUAGUUGCUGUUUUAAGUUUUAGGUUUGUUUAAGUGUUUUAACUUUUAGUUUUGCAUUCUUUGAGUCUAGUUUAGUGUUUUUAACUGUGUUUUUGAGUGUUUAAGUCAGUUUCCAAGCGUUUAGCAAUCCCUCCUAAUCCCCGGUCUAGAACGAUCCCUACUUACAUCUUCGCUACAAUUUGACAAAAAGAGGGUUUAAUUUGUGUGCUUAAUAUAUUUCGCAUCAAAACACAUGAAACUAGCUUAAAAGACUAAUUUAACUAAGAAAACACAACGUAAAUGCACAAGAACAAGAUCACUAAGUCGCAUAAAUAUGCUCCUAUCACUUGUGGCGUGUGUUCAAUGCAAGGACAUCUCACGGAUAAGUGCCCUCAAUUGAUAGAGAAUGGAGGGUGGGAAUCUGCCAAUGCUGUGGGUUUAGGGAGUCAAAACCAACCAAGGAGUGAUCCUUUUUCUAACACAUACAAUCCCAGUUGGAAAGAUCAUCCAAAUUUCAAAUGGAGGGAGCCCCAACAAACCCAACAACAAAAUGCAUUUAGGCAGCAACCUCCUGGAUUCUACCAAAGGUCGUAUGCACCCACACAACCCCAAGCACAACCUGCCCAAUCGAAAUCAGGUUCGUCCAUAGAUAAUGAUCAAAAUUUUCAAUUACUAACUUCUAUGGCGCAGGGAAUGCAAAAUAGGGACAAAAAGGUUGAUGAAUUAGAAAAGCAAGGAGGGCAGAUUGCGGAGUUCAUGGGUGAUGCGAAAUAUAUUAAGCACACAAAUUAAACCCUCUUUUGACAAAUGUAGUAAAGUAUGUAAGUAGGGAUCGUUCUAGACCGGGGAUUAGGAGGGAUUGCUAAACACUUGGAAACUGACUUAAAAACUCAAAAACAAAGUUUAAAACACUAAACUAGACUCAAAGAAUGCAAAACUAAAGGUUAAAACACUUAAACAAACCUAAAACUCAAAACAGCAACCUAAUGACUCAAAACUGACUAAAAACCACUUUCUGGGCAGUUUUGAGAACCUAACAAGAACUUGGACGAAUUUGGGUGAAAACUUGAAUCAAAACACUUAGAAACACAAAUCAAAACACCUUCUAACUAAUCUAAGACUUCAAAAUAAAGGGGGAUUUGUUUUGGACGAAAAUUGAAAACAAAACAGAAACUUUGAAACAAAACAGAUUGUAAAACGUUUUUGGAUGAAAAGGAUGGAUAAAAGGCUAGUUAGGAGGUUCUUCUCCACACAUGUCACACUUGCAAACAAAACGAUUUUCAGUUGUUCUUCCAAUAAAUUAUGAAUACUCAACGCCCCAAAUUAACCGUGAAUUGCACUAAUUAACCCUCAGUUUUUCCACAAGUUAUUGAGUUGGAUGAUUGCAUACGACAACCCAAAACAUUCCCUACAAGUUCCCUACAUGAAUUGCAUAAUAGAGAUACAAGCAAGAAUCAUUAAGUUCUAUGAAAAACAUAAGCAUUGACGAGGCAUUCGUUACUAUGAAUUGCAUGAAACUUAUGCCAAGAAUUCAUUCAACGCGAUCGUUUUCAAGCGACCUUCACUACUUGUGAUUAUAAGAUUGUAACUAUUAGGUGAAACUCCCUCAUAAUCUAGCACCAUAUUCAUGCAUGAAAACUAAGCGUGCACUCUCAAUCAACAUACACAAAUAAGUUAUCAAUCAAGUAGAUGAACGAAUUGAAUCCACAACUUAUGAAAUAACAACUGAAUGUAAUCAAAUCAUAUUGCAAGCAUGCACAUGGUUUCGAAUCACCCCCCAACUAAGGGGGUUUAGUUCCUCAUACUCACAACACAAAGUUUAUUGAAUUGAAACAUUGAAAACAUAAGAAAGAUUACACCUAAAAGUUCCAGCAAUCUGCAAUAGACUAGCAAGCACAUUCAAGAGCACUCCUUCUUCCUUCUUGCUGCGGCAUAAGGUAUGGAGAUGGUUUGGGAUGGUUUUGGAUGAGGUAGAAUGGUAGAAAAGUGUCUAAGAUGGGUGUAUGGCACGGCUAGGGAGGUUUGGGGUCAGAAAAUAUGGAUUUGGGUGAAGAUUGGGCACGGCAAAGGUAAGGGAAAGGUUUCUGGCGUGAAUGGAUGUGAAUGGGUGUGUGUGGAAUGAUUUGUGGCUGCAACAAGGAGGUUUAUUUAAAGGAAAACAGAAAUUAAAACCCUAGGUUGAUUAGGAAAUCAGAAAUUAAGUCUAAGGAUUCUAGAAUUAGGAAAUAAAUCAGAAAAUUAAAGGAAAGAGCAAGGGAAAUUCGGCUAGGGUUUAAAACACAAAAGGAAGGUGUUUUAAAGCAUAAAAACAGGAAAUAAGGAAGAGGAAAUGCAAAGGGGGGUGCGGCAAGGGUUCAAAAGGGUUCUAGGCUUUUGUUUUGUGUCCUAGAAUGCUUAGAAAGUCUUCAUAAUUGCUGGAACUUUUAGGGACAAUUAGGAAAAAUCAAACCAAAGUAGGAAACCUUGGCUUAACUUUCCUACUUCAAGUAGGAAUCCUUGUUCUAGGAAUCCUCAUGUGAUUAGGAAUCCAUCUUCAAUUAGGAAUCCUCAUGUGAUUAGGAAUCCAUCUUCAAUUAGGAAUCCUUCGUCGAUUAGGAAUCCUCCUUCAUGUAAGCACUUUCCUACUUCAACUAGGAAACCUUGUUCAAGUAGGAAUCAUCAUCUUCAAGUCUUCAAAUUCGUCCAAACCUUGGCUCCAAUUAUGUGAUAAUCAUUCCAAGCCCAAUUUUGCUCCAAAAAGCUCCAAAAUGCAUCUUCUUGCAUCCUUUGGCCUUAAAACCUGAAAACACAUAAAACUAGCUUAAAAGACUACUUUAACUAAGAAAACACCAUGGAAAUGCAUAAGAACUAGCUAACUAAGGCGCAUAAAUAUGCUCCUAUCAAUGGGCCAAUUCAGAGAGCAAGGCAAGUUGCCUAGUUUAACCAUUGUCAACCCAAAAGGAGGAUUUGAAUCUGCCAAAGCAAUCAUGUUGCGAAGUGGAAAACAAGUUGGAACAGCCUUACAACCAUCUAAAUUAGUCCCAACUGAGAACAAAAAGUUGCAAUUUGAGGAGGUGGAACAAGAGCAAGCCACGGCAAGGGUAGCACCACCCAUGCUGCAGCCACCCAAACACUCCCAGUCGUCUUCCAAAGGUAAAGAGGUUCCAAAUUCAAUUAUUUCUAAUAUUAUUCCCCCAAAUGUACCCUUUCCUCGCAAAUUCAUGCAAUCAAAGAAGGAGGAGGCUAAAAAGGACAUUCUGGAGACAGUUAAAAAAGUAAAAGUCAAUAUACCACUUUUGGAUGCAAUUAAGCAAGUUCCAAGGUAUGCCAAGUUUUUAAAAGAACUUUGCACCACUGGGAAGAGAAUUUCGAACAAGGAGGUUGUCAAGGUAAGUGAAAAUGUCUCAGCCAUCUUACAACGUAAAAUGCCCCCUAAAUGCAAAGAUCCGGGUAGUUUUACAAUUCCUUGUGUUAUUGAUGCAAAAUAUAUAAGCACACAAAUUAAACCCUCUUUUUAUCAAUUGUAGCAAAGUAUGUAAGUAGGGAUCGUUCUAGGCCGGGGAUUAGGAGGGAUUGCUAAAUCACUUGAAAACUGACUCAAAACGUAAAAACAAAGUUUAAAACACUAAACUAGACUCAAAGAAUGCAAAACUAAACUAUAAAACACCAAAACAAAGCAAAAGACUCAAAACAGCAAAUAAACGCUCAAAACUGCCUUAAAAACACCUUCUGGGCAGUUUUGAACACAAACACAAAAUUGGACGAAAAUAGGUUUAAACUUGACUCAAGACACUUAAAAACACAAACUAAAUUGAUUUCUAACUAAUCUAACACUUCAAAAUAAAUGGGGAUUUGGUUUUGACGAAAAUUGAAAACAAAAACAAAAGUUGUAAAUUGAACAGAUUCUAAAACGUAUUUGAUUAAAUUUAAUGGAUGAAAAGCUAGCUAAGGGGUUCUUCUCCACACAUGUCACUGAUAGGAGCAUAUUUAUGCGCCUUAGUUAGCUAGUUCUUAUGCAUUUAUGUUGUGUUUUCUUAGUUAAGUUAGUCUUUAAGCUAUUUUCAUGUGUUUUCAGGUUUUAAGGACAAAGUAAGCAAAAAGAUGCAAUUUGGAGCAAAAUUGAGCUAGAAUGGAGCUCAUGCAUGUGGAGCACAAAGAAUGGACGAAUUUGAAGGAUUGAAGAGGCUGGGAAUGUGUUUCAAAGUUGAAGAAUUGAAGAUGCAAAGUUUCCUAAUUGAAGUAGGAAAGUGCCUAAUUGAAGAUGAAAUCCUAGUCAACAAUGGAUUCCUAGUUGAAGAAUGAUUCCUAGUUGAAGUUGGAUUUCUAGAAGAUUAAAGAUUCCUACUCAAACAAGGUUUCCUACUUGAAGAGGGAAAGUUAAAAGUUAAAAGCCAAAGAAUCAGCUCAAGUGAAGAAACCUUAUCCAAAACAUUAUCCAUAACCUUAUCCUAUCCUAUCUUAUCCUAAUCCUAAUCUUCCUAUAUUUCAGCUACAAAAGGGAUUUCUUUUCCUAUUUGGAGACUUAAAACCUGAUUUCUAGAAGCCUUAUCCCUUCCUACAAAGGUGCCACACCUUAUCCCUUGUUUUUCUAGAAAUCAGCCACAAAACAACCUUUCUAGAAGGCCUUAUCCCUUGUCCUACAAAAGUGACGCCCCAAACCUUUCUAGAACUUCUAGAAACCUGAUUAUUCCUUUCCCCCUUGGUUUCUAAAAGCCUUAGCCUUUUCCUUCAAGGAUUGUGUGUUAUUAUCCUAUACAAAUUGGGCCUUUCAAUCCUUUUCCUUUGCUACAUAGGGGCUGCGAAUUUCAGCCUAUAAAUACCAUCCUUUGCUGCACCAUUUAGUCACCACCCUCUACCAUAUUUUCACUACAUCAUUCACCCAAACAUCCCUCUUGUGCCGUGAGUUUGCAAAGGAGAAGGAAGGAGACUCUUGGAGCCGUGCAUGCCAUUCAAGGAGCUUGGAUUGUUGGAGCGUUUCUAGGUGUUUUCUAUCUUUAUGUCAAUGUUUAAAUUUAUUUAUCUUUGUUUAUUUGCGAACAUGAGGAACUAAUUUCUUUAUAGUUAGAGGGGAAUUCAAAGCCAUGAUCAUAUGUUUUAUAUGACUUGAUUUCCUCCAGUUAUGAUUUCAUAAAUCGUGAAUGUGGUUUACUUAUCUAUUUGAUUGAUAACAUGUUUAUGUAUGUUGAUUGAGGGUCGACACUUAGUUUGCAUGCAUGAAUUUGAUGCUAGAGUAUAAGGGAAUUUCACCUAAUCGUUAUUAACUUAUAUUCAUAAGUAGUAAAAGUCGCUAGUCACGAUUGUGUUAAGUAAAUCCUUGGCAAGAGUAACAUGCGUAUUCCAUAGUUAUGAAUGCCUCGUCAAUGCUUAUGAUUUCCAUUGAAACUUAAUGAUCUUUGAUAUGUGUCUCUAUCAUGCGUAUGCCAUAGUUAGGGUCCUUGAUAAGAAUAAUUUGGUUGUAAUGCGUAUUCCAUUCAAUUCAAUGAAUCUAGGGAAAUCUGAGAAUUAAUUGGUGCAAUCUAGUUAAUUUGGGGCAUUGUCAUUCAUGGUUUGUUGAAAGAGUAACUGGAAAUCGAGUCGUAUGUAUAUGUUUCAUGUGUGGAGAAGGAACCCUCUAACUAGCCUUUCACCAUUCUAUUUCAUCAAUUUCGUGAGUCUUUAAGUUUGUUUACAAAGUUUAUGUUUUAAAAGUUCAAUUUCGUCAAAACCAAACCCCUUGCUUUUAAGUCUUGUUUUUAGAGUCAAAACUUGUUUUCUUGUUUUGAGUCAAGUGAAGUUCUAUUUUCGUCCAAAUCACUUAUUUGGUCUAGAAUUGAGUCUUUUUUUUUUAUUGUUUCUUGCUGUUUUGAGUUAGUUUUGAGUCUAUCGAGUCUAGUUUAGUGUUUUUGAGUCUUAUUUGUGUUGAUUAGCAUCCCUAGUUAAUCCCCGGUCUAGAACGAUCCCUACUUGCUUAAAUACUACAAUUGUCAUCAAUAGGGUUUAAUUUGUGUGUCAACUUAAUUUUCACAUCAGUCACACUUGCAUACAAAACGAUUUCCAUUGCUUCUCAAUAAACCAUGAAUUCCCAACACCCCAAGUUAAUUAGGUACGCUUAAAUUAACUUUCAGAUUUCCCUUUAAUCAUUGAAUUGAAUGGAAAGAGCGCUUCACAAUCAAAUUAUUCCUUAAAAGUUACCUACAUGAAAGCGCAUAAUAGAUAAACAAUCAAAGAUCAUUAAGUUCUAUGGAAAUCAUAAGCAUUGGCGAGGCACUUGUUACUAUGAAAGCGCAUGAAACUUAUGCCAAGAAUUUACUUAACACGAUUAUGAUCAACAACCUUUACUACUUGUGAAUAUAAGUUCAUAACGAUUAGGUGAAAAUCCCUUAUAUCCUAGCAUUAAACUUAUGCAUGAAAAUUAAGCGUGCACUCUCAACCAACACCACAUAUCAGUUUUAAUUCAUGUAGAUAAGCAAAUUGAAUUCACAACUUAUGAAACGCAAUUAGAAGUAAUCAAAUCAUUUCGCAAGCAUAAACAUGGUUUCGAAUCCCCCCUAGCCAAGGGGGGUUUAUGAUAGGAGCAUAUUUAUGUGCCUUAGUUAGCUAGUUCUUAUGCAUUUCCAUGGUGUUUUCUUAGUUAACGUAGUCUUUUAAGCUAGUUUUAUAUGUUUUCAGGUUUUAGAGACAAAGUAUGCAAGGAAGUGCAAAAUGGAGCAUGAUUGAGCACAAAUGGCGUUUUUACUUAUGGAGCACAAGGAAUGGACGAGUUGAAGGUCAAAGGGAACUUAAGAAAUGAAGAAAUGAAAGUGAAGAACAAAGAAUUCAGAAUUAGAACCCAAAGUUUCUAAAGUUGGAAGUUUCUAUUCUUGGAGGUUUCCAUUUGUGAGAGUUUCUAUUCUUGGCUUUGGGCUUCUAGAUGACCCAUCCUUACAUUCUUGGACAUUGCCGCACCAUAAGCCCAAUCCUUUUCAGAUUUGGACCCCUUGCCUUGCAAGGCUUUCUAAAAACUUUAUUUUUUGGUGGACUUUUAGCCCUUUGCCGCACCUAAACCCUAGCCCAUUGCUUAAACCUGAUUUCCCUAGGGUUUGUGGUGCCUAUAUAUAUGUGUUCUUAGCCUUGCCGCAGGGAUGACCCCCUCCACAAUUCAGAAAUUCGUCAAACACAUCCAUCACACUUUGCCGCAGCCUUCCUCCACCAAUCUGCCAUUUUUCCAUACUUUGCCGCAACCCCCAUGUCCCCAAAGCACUACCAUAUCAUUCCUUACCUACUCAUCCAUCCAAAUAACCCCUAGAACCUGUCUCUAGUCCUUGUGCCGCAGCCAAGAGGAGGAGAGAAAGCUUGGGACGUUCAUGCCAUUCAAUUGAGGGUUGCUGGAACGUUUUAGGUGUUGUCUUUCCUUUGAUUUUCUAUGUUUAAUUUUGAUACUCUUUGUGUUGUGAGAAUGAGGAACUAAACCCCCCUUGGUUAGGGGGGAAUUCGAAACCAUGUACAUGCUUGCAAUAUGAUUUGAUUACAUUCAGUUGUUAUUUCAUAAGUUGUGGAUUCAAUUCGUUCAUCUAUUUGAUUGAUACUUAUUUGUGUAUGUUGAUUGAGAGUGCACGCUUAGUUUUCAUGCAUGAAUAUGAUGCUAGAUUAUGAGGGAGUUUCACCUAAUAGUUACAAUCUUAUAAUCACAAGUAGUGAAGGUCGCUUGAAAACGAUCACGUUGAAUGAAUUCUUGGCAUAAGUUUCAUGCAAUUCAUAGUAACGAAUGCUUCGUCAAUGCUUAUAUUUUUCAUAGAACUUAAUGAUUCUUACUUGUAUCUCUAUUAUGCAAUUCAUGUAGGGAACUUGUAGGGAAUGUUUUGGGUUGUCGUAUGCAAUCAUCCAACUCAAUAACUUGUGGAAAAACUGAGGGUUAAUUAGUGCAAUUCACGGUUAAUUUGGAGCGUUGAGUAUUCAUAAUUUAUUGGAAGAACAACUGAAAAUCGUUUUGUUUUGCAAGUGUGACAUGUGUGGAGAAGAACCUCCUAACUAGCCUUUUAUCCAUCCUUUUCAUCCAAAAACGUUUUACAAUCUGUUUUGUUUUAAAGUUUCUGUUUUGUUUUCAAUUUUCGUCCAAAACAAAUCCCCUUUUAUUUUGAAGUCUUAGAUUAGUUAGAAUAUGUUUUGAUUUGUGUUUCUAAGUGUUUUGAUUCAAGUUUUCACCCAAAUUCGUCCAAGUUCUUGUUAGGUUCUCAAAACUGCCCAGAAAGUGGUUUUAGGCAGUUUUGAGUCAUUAGGUUGCUGUUUUGAGUUUUAGGUUUGUUUAAGUGUUUUAACCUUUAGUUUUGCAUUCUUUGAGUCUAGUCUAGUGGUUUAAACUUUGUUUUUAUGUUCUUAAGUCAGUUUCCAAGUGUUUAGCAAUCCCUCCUAAUCCCCGGUUUAGAACGAUCCCUACUUACAUCUUUACUACAAUUUGACAAAAAGAGGGUUUAAUUUGUGUGCUUAUCUAUUUCGCAUCAGUUUAGUUCCUCAUACUCGCAAAGCAAAGAUACAUAAAUUUAGACAUUAAAAUCCAAAGAAAGAAAACACCUAGAUGAUCCAACUGGACAGCAGGUGCAUCCACAAAGUCUUCCUUCCUCCUUGCUGCGGCACUUGGUCUAAGAGCAGGGUUUGGGUGGUAUUUGUAUGGGAGAAUGGGUAGGGAAUGGUAUGGAAGGGUUUAGGAUUGAUGGGGGGUGCGGCAAGGUGUUUAGGGUCAGAAAAUAUGGAGUAUGGUGAGUAAGGGUUGCGGCAGAGAAGGUAGAUGAGUUUCUGGCGUGAUUUAUGAAUAUGGGAGGUGGUGAAUUCGGCCAAAGGGGUUUAUGAGUAUAUAUAUAGGCACUUAAAACCCUAGGUAAAUCAAAUAUGGACUUGAAUAACCCAAAUCCACAAGGAGAAAGGCCUAGAAAUCAGAAUUAGAGAGGCUUCUAGGUGCAGCACAAAGAGUGUGAAAUGAUAAGGCUUCUAGAAACCAAAAUCCUAAAGGAAAUAGGGUAGAAAAUUCGGCACAAAGUGUGGUUUCUAGAAGGAUAAUGCAAGGCAGAUUUUUAGGCUUCUAGAAAGGUUCUUAGGUGUCAUCUUGGUAGGAUAAGAUAAGGUCUUCUAGAAAUCCCAUUUUAAGCAUCCUAGUCCAAUUAGAAACCCUCCUAAGUGGCUGGAAUGUGGAUAAGAUAGGAUAGGAUAAGGUUUGAUUGGAUAAGAUAACUAAGAUAAGGUUAUGGAUGAGGUUUUGGAUAAUACUCCUUAUCUUGAGCAGAUUCUUUGGUUUUAAUUCUUCUUCUUCAUGUAGGAAACCUUGCUUGAGUAGGAAACUUCAUAUAUCUAGGAAUCCAUCUUCAAUU
rnacentral:lncRNA from 1 species